UACGUAGGGGGCAAGCGUUGUCCGGAUUUAUUGGGCGUAAAGAGCGUGUAGGCGGCCAAACAGGUCAGCUGUGAAAACUCGAGGCUCAACCUCGAGACGUCGGUUGAAACCGUUUGGCUAGAGUCCGGAAGAGGAGAGUGGAAUUCCCGGUGUAGCGGUGAAAUGCGCAGAUAUCGGGAAGAACACCCGUGGCGAAGGCGGCUCACUGGACCAUAACUGACGCUGAUGCACGAAAGCUGGGGGAGCAAACAGG
rnacentral:rRNA from 1 species